UGUUCCUUUGGCACCAUCUUACGGUGUUUAUAUUUCACAACUUGUUCGCUAUGCCCGUGUCUGUUGUGACGUUUUUGAUUUUAACGAACGCAACCUAUGUAUUACUGGUAAAUUAUUAAACCAGGGAUAUCGUUACCAUAAAUUACUUAAAACCUUUACUAAAUUUUUCCAUAGAUAUAAAGAUUUGGUUUUGAAGUUUGGUUGUACCUGUAGAAAACUUA
rnacentral:lncRNA from 1 species